GAGAGAGGCUCGAUAGCAACGAUACCUGCUAAUUUUCGUCACUCCAGUUAGACCCUGGCGCUCACUCG
rnacentral:tRNA from 1 species